AAAAGAAAAAACGAAAAAAUUGAUGCGAAAAUCAAUGGUAUCCCGAGGCAUCGUAACCGCGCUUAGGCGACCAGCUGCGAGAAAACAAGUUUUUCAUCUUCACCUACGUACUCCGUAAUUGCUAAGUAAUCUGUUACAGUGGAAUCACCCCUUAUUAAGCGCAACAAACGAAGGAGAGAAGGGUUAUCAAGCGGAGUUUAGGACCGCGGCGACGAUUCUAUGAAAAUUGAAUGACGAGGGUGUCGACGCGAUUAAGGAAGGAAAGAAGAGGAGGUCGUGCUUCGUAGGAUCGAAGAGAAGGCGAAGAAGAAUGGUCAGCAAGACGUAUAAUAAUCGAGCGAGUAAUCAACCCACGGUCGUCAUCGUGACAACGGCCCACCAGAACGCGUCCGGAAUGGACUUGAAGAACGAAUUCUCGGAGCCGGCCUCCGCGAAGUAUACCGCCGAUGAGAAUAGCACCACACCUGCAAUGCAAGGAAGAAAACACCGGUUCAGUGGGUUUAACGCCCCCGGUGGCU